rnacentral:misc_RNA from 1 species
GAUGAAGAAACGCAGCGAAAUGCGAUAAGUAAUGUGAAUUGCAGAAUUCAGUGAAUCAUCGAAUCUUUGAACGCACAUUGCGCCCGUCAGUAUUCUGGCGGGCAUGCCUGUUCGAGCGUCAUUACGCCCCUCAAGUCCCCUGUGGACUUGGUGUUGGGGAUCGGCGAGGCUGGUUUUCCAGCACAGCCGUCCCUUAAAUUAAUUGGCGGUCUCGCCGUGGCCCUCCUCUGCGCAGUAGUAAAACACUCGCAACAGGAGCCCGGCGCGGUCCACUGCCGUAAAACCCCCCAACUUUUUAUAGUUGACCUCGAAUCAGGUAGGACUAACCGCUGAACUUAAGCAUAUCAAUAAGCGGAGGA